GACGAACGCUGGCGGCGCGCCUAACACAUGCAAGUCGAACGGAGCUAAUGAUUUCGGUUGUUAGUUCAGUGGCGGACGGGUGAGUAACGCGUGAGUAACCUGCCUUUCAGAGGGGGAUAACGUUUGGAAACGAACGCUAAUACCGCAUAACAUAUGCAGAUCACAUGGUCAGCAUAUCAAAGGAGCAAUCCGCUGAGAGAUGGACUCGCGUCCAAUUAGCUAGUUGGUGAGGUAAAGGCCCACCAAGGCGACGAUUGGUAGCCGGACUGAGAGGUUGAACGGCCACAUUGGGACUGAGACACGGCCCAGACUCCUACGGGAGGCAGCAGUGGGGAAUAUUGCACAAUGGAGGAAACUCUGAUGCAGCGACGCCGCGUGAGGGAAGAAGGUUUUCGGAUUGUAAACCUCUGUCCUUGGUGAAGAAAAUGACGGUAGCCAAGGAGGAAGCCACGGCUAACUACGUG
rnacentral:rRNA from 1 species